CGGACGAGGUGGACCGAGGCCUGCGCCCGAACGGCCCUGACGUACUUCCCCAACGCCAGGUACGGAUCGGGCGGGGACCCCGAUUCACCGGUCCGGCACU
rfam:Tsukamurella paurometabola DSM 20162, complete genome.